rnacentral:rRNA from 1 species
UACGUAGGGGGCAAGCGUUGUCCGGAUUUAUUGGCGUAAAGAGCGUGUAGGCGGCCUGAAAGGUCAGCUGUGAAAACUCGAGGCUCAACCUUGAGACGUCGGUUGAAACCAUCUGGCUAGAGUCCGGAAGAGGAGUGUGGAAUUCCCGGUGUAGCGGUGAAAUGCGCAGAUAUCAGGAAGAACACCCGUGGCGGAAGGCG